rnacentral:rRNA from 1 species
UGAUACGUCUAGAGUUUGAUCAUGGCUCAGGAUGAACGCUAGCGGCAGGCCUAAUACAUGCAAGUCGAGGGGCAGCACUGCAGCAAUGCUGGUGGCGACCGGCGGACGGGUGCGUAACGCGUAUGGAGCUUGUCCGGAUCUCUGGAAUAGCCCCGAACGGGAUAGUGCGAUGCGCGCUGGUGUGGCAUCACACCUUCGCUAAAGCUCAGGCGGAUCCGGGUGGCCAUGCGUUCGAUUAGCUAGUUGGCGGGGUAACGGCCCACCAAGGCGACGAUCGAUAGGGGUCCUGAGAGGGAGGUCCCCACACUGGUACUGAGACACGGGCCAGACUCCUACGGGAGGCAGCAGUAGGGAAUAUUGGGCAAUGGGGCAACCCUGACCCAGCCAUGCCGCGUGCAGGAGGAAGGCCCUCUGGGUUGUAAACUGCUUUUGGGAGGGGACAAAAAGACCGUGCGCGGUUCAUUGAGUGUACCUCCAGAAUAAGCACCGGCUAACUCCGUGCCAGCCGCCGCGGUAAU